AAAAUACAUGUUUUAUAUGUAUUUUUGUGUUAUUCAUUCUGUUGGAAUGAAAUGUUGGAUUUUGUCGCGAAUCCGUGGUCGAUCGAGGUGAACCAAAAUCGUAGCUUUGUUGUCUCCGUCGUGCUGAUCGCACUGGUGCAAUCCGUUCGCAAAUCUGACGGACGGAUCUGCAGAUAUCGCGCGUUGUUCGAGGAGAGGUCGUUGUGGGGAAAACGGUAUUUUUGCAAAAGUCGCAAUAUUUUAUGUACCGUUUCGCGUGA
rnacentral:lncRNA from 1 species